rnacentral:rRNA from 1 species
GACGAACGCUGGCGGCGUGCUUAACACAUGCAAGUCGAGCGGUAAGGCCCUUUCGGGGGUACGACGAGCGGCGAACGGGUGAGUAACACGUGGGUGACCUGCCCUUAGCUCUGGGAUAAGCCUGGGAAACGUAGGGUCUAAUACCGGAUAUGACCUCAUGACUCAUGUUGUGGGGUGGAAAGCCUUGUGCGGCUAGGGAUGGGCCCGCGGUCUAUCAGCUUGUUGGUGGGGUAAUUGCCUACCAAGGCGACGACGGGUAGCCGGCCUGAGAGGGCGACCGGCCACACUGGGACUGAGACACGGCCCAGACUCCUACGGGAGGCAGCAGUGGGGAAUCUUGCGCAAUGGGCGAAAGCCUGACGCAGCGACGCCGCGUGAGGGAUGACGGCCU